rnacentral:rRNA from 1 species
UACGUAGGGUGCAAGCGUUGUCCGGAAUUAUUGGGCGUAAAGAGCUCGUAGGCGGUCUGUCGCGUCGGAUGUGAAAAUCCAGGGCUCAACCCUGGACCUGCAUUCGAUACGGGCAGACUAGAGUUCGGCAGGGGAGACUGGAAUUCCUGGUGUAGCGGUGAAAUGCGCAGAUAUCAGGAAGAACACCCGUGGCGAAGGCGGCUCUCUGGGACGGUACUGACGCUGAGACGCGAAAGCGUGGGGAGCGAACAGG